UCCUUCUGCAAAAUUCUUCCUUGCGCCUCAUUAAUGUGUAAUGCAUUUUGGUUUUCGAGUGCACAUGGCAGUCCCAGUUCGCCAAAAAAGUAAAUUCCGUAUUACAAAAGGACACGAGGGUGAUUUCUUUGCCUUAAUUAACUAACAAAGUGAUACCUUACUUCACUCCUGAAAUGCUCUUUAUAUUCAACUCUGCCAUUCAGACUAUGACCAAUAAAACAUGCUUAGUAUUCUCAAAAAGCACAAAUUGUUUCAUGGAUUUUGCACUGUCUCACCUUCUAUAAUUUUACGUGUGCCGUCCACCAUGGGUGGGGCCAUGCUUUAUUCUUCUUUCAACCCUUCUUCUCUCUCACUUUCUUCUCAUUUUCCUACACACCGCGCCACACUGAGGCAGGCCUUCUUUCCUGUGAUUUGUGCGCUUAAUAAGCACUCAACAGCUUUCAAUAAGUGAGAAUGUGAGAUAAUGAAAAAAUUGCGAGAGGCAUGGGGGGUGCAUCUGUGGUUUUGGCCUCUGUCCUUGGAAUCAUCAAUUGUAACUAUAAGUCCAUUCCUAGAGCCAUUGCAGCUACCAGGGACAUAUAUCGUAUAGGUCAUUCUUUCUGAAAGCAAGAGAUGUACCUGAAGAGCGAAAAGGACGUGUUACAAUCAUUGUUAUUGAUGAUGAAUGAGUACGUAGCCUCAUCAAAACGGAAGAGUGUCAUAGAGAAGCUUAGGACGCCUCCCGAGGCUUUGAUGAAAAACGUAUUGAUUAGGGCACCAGGGCUAAUCAAAGCUGGAAAGUGUGAUGAAGCAGAAAGACAGUUGCAAGAUAUAUACUUGUUAAUGCCAUGGUGAAACUCGGAAACUCGGAGUCUGCAUACAAUGUAUAGAUGGGAUUAGUACCAAUUCGCAUUUUCCAGCUAUUACACACACUAUGUCUGAUGAUAAUAAAGAAGCAAAGGAAUGCUGGGAAACAUUCAUCGGCUCUCUUUGAGAACGAGGAUAUGCCAAUAUCGCCUUCAUACGGGUCUAAUCAAAGUAUAUUGUUUGAUUUUUAGGGCUUUUCAUUAUCGGUGCAUUACAACGAAAUUAUGUUGGGUCCAGUCCCACUGCAACAGUUUAAAAGAUGCAGUCCAACCUACUAAAUCAAGUUGCCACAUAGAUUCACUAAGUAGGUAGAGCAAUUGAUUAGAAACGCCUGUACUUGUGGCGAGCAUCAAAUCCGGCUUUGUCUGGGAAACGUUACAAUUUGGAGUUUGAUUUGAAGAUUUGAAUUUCCUUGAAAUGACGUUCAAGCACUCUUCGUCAAACUCGAAACUAGCGUAUGUUGCCGCGGGAAUCGACGUGUUGAAUAUCCUGAUUGACUAUUACAAAAGAAGCAUAACGAUAAGCCAACCCACGGUCAGUUUCAAAGAAAUAUUCCAUGAUGUAAAAUAGAAAACUGAAACAAUAAAAACACACAAAUUAUGGUAAACUAAAUCAAAAUUUGUUGGAAAAUCGAUUACUCUACGAUUUUGGGCACCUAAACAACUCAAGUGUACUUCAUAUGUUUAACAUGUUUAGAGCUCAUUUGGAUGUACUUUUAAAAUGACUGAUAGCUCUUUUAGAGAAAAUGUUUUUUUUUAUUCUAAAAGCAAUUAAAAUGUUUUCUGCAAUAAGCACCAAUUAUGUGCUUAUUCCAGGAACCACUUUAAGUGUUUUUUCAGAAUUUACUUGC